rnacentral:rRNA from 1 species
ACGAACGCUGGCGGCAUGCCUAACCCAUGCCGGUCGAACGAGACCUUCGGGUCUAGUGGCGCACGGGUGCGUAACGCGUGGGAACCUGCCCUUAGGUUCGGAAUAACUCCCCGAAAGGGGUGCUAAUACCGGAUAAUGUCUUCGGACCAAAGAUUUAUCGCCUUUGGAUGGGCCCGCGUUGGAUUAGCUAGUUGGUAGGGUAAAAGCCUACCAAGGCGACGAUCCAUAGCUGGUCUGAGAGGAUGAUCAGCCACACUGGGACUGAGACACGGCCCAGACUCCUACGGGAGGCAGCAGUGGGGAAUAUUGGACAAUGGGCGAAAGCCUGAUCCAGCAAUGCCGCGUGAGUGAUGAAGGCCUUAGGGUUGUAAAGCUCUUUUACCCGGGAUGAUAAUGACAGUACCGGGAGAAUAAGCUCCGGCUAACUCCGUG